CUCUAGCCCUGAAGUGGGAAGGGCUAGCUACUGAGAGGAGAAUACGUGGAGCGGGGAAAGGGGAGCUCCAGCCUGGUAACCCACAGGCCUCAGUGAAGGCCUAGGAAAGUUAAAAUGCCUCACAUUGAGGGAAUGUGGAAUUCCCUUGCUGGAAGCAUGGAGCUUUGGGAACAACACAGACAUGUUUGCUGACAAAAACCAAGACAAAAACCAUAUAAAGAUGAAUAUUGUCACCAUAUAACGAACACUUCCCCACAUGCGAUAGAUUGACAGCUUCCUCACCUAUUCUUUCCUACAAAUCUUGGCAGGAAGUCUUGAUUAAUCUCUUGCAACAGCUCAAUGUCAACAUUUUGUCUUUCACUGUAAGGCCCUGUCUACAUUAUAAAUACUUCCAUAAUCAGAGACCUAGUUUCAGCACAACAUGGUUUUUCCACUGACUUACCUCCAGUGUAAAUAGGGUAAUAAGAGGAAAGUAAGAACAGAUUAAGGUACAUUUUACUACAGAUUUCACACUUGUCACUGUGGGAAACAAAACAAUACAGUUGUACAAUGUAAACAAAUCCUCAUUGGCCUCCUAAUGCUGUAGUCAAUGCCUUAUGUUUUUGCCUGUAAAUCAGAAUCUUUAUUAAAAGUUUUUUUAAUAAGCUGUUA